GGUUAAGCGAAUAAGCGUACACGGUGGAUGCCUAGGCAAUCAGAGGCGAUGAAGGACGUGCUAAUCUGCGAUAAGCGUCGGUAAGGUGAUAUGAACCGUUAUACCCGACGAUUUCCGAAUGGGGAAACCCAAUAUCCAAUGGAUAUUAUCAUUAACUGAAUACAUAGGUUAAUGAAGCGAACCGGGAGAACUGAAACAUCUCAGUACCCCGAGGAAAAGAAAUCAACCGAGAUUCCCCUAGUAGCGGCGAGCGAACGGGGAACAGCCCAGAGUCUUAAUCAACAGCAGCAUCAGGAGAACGGUCUGGAAAGUCCGGCAGUAAAGGGUGAUAGCCCCGUAUCUGAAGAUGCUGUUAUUGUGAACUCGACGAGUAGGGCGGGACACGUGUUAUCCUGUCUGAAUAUGGGGGGACCAUCCUCCAAGGCUAAAUACUCCUGAUUGACCGAUAGUGAACCAGUACCGUGAGGGAAAGGCGAAAAGAACCCCGGCGAGGGGAGUGAAAAAGAACCUGAAACCGUGUACGUACAAGCAGUAGGAGCCUCUUCGUGAGGUGACUGCGUACCUUUUGUAUAAUGGGUCAGCGACUUAUAUUCUGUAGCAAGGUUAACCGUAUAGGGGAGCCGUAGGGAAACCGAGUCUUAACUGGGCGAAUGAGUUGCAGGGUAUAGACCCGAAACCCGGUGAUCUAUCCAUGGGCAGGUUGAAGGUUGGGUAACACUAACUGGAGGACCGAACCGACUAAUGUUGAAAAAUUAGCGGAUGACUUGUGGAUGGGGGUGAAAGGCCAAUCAAACCGGGAGAUAGCUGGUUCUCCCCGAAAGCUAUUUAGGUAGCGCCUCGUGAAUUCAUCUUCGGGGGUAGAGCACUGUUUCGACUAGGGGGUCAUCCCGACUUACCAACUCGAUGCAAACUGCGAAUACCGAAGAAUGUUAUCACGGGAGACACACGGCGGGUGCUAACGUCCGUCGUGAAGAGGGAAACAACCCAGACCGCCAGCUAAGGUCCCAAAGUCAUGGUUAAGUGGGAAACGAAGUGGGAAGGCUCAGACAGCCAGGAUGUUGGCUUAGAAGCAGCCAUCAUUUAAAGAAAGCGUAAUAGCUCACUGGUCGAGUCGGCCCGCGCGGAAGAUGUAACGGGGCUAAACCAUGCACCGAAGCUGCGGCAGCGACACUAUGUGUUGUUGGGUAGGGGAGCGUUCUGUAAGCCUGCGAAGGUGUACUGUGAGGUAUGCUGGAGGUAUCAGAAGUGCGAAUGCUGACAUAAGUAACGAUAAUGCGGGUGAAAAACCCGCACGCCGGAAGACCAAGGGUUCCUGUCCAACGUUAAUCGGGGCAGGGUGAGUCGACCCCUAAGGCGAGGCUGAAAAGCGUAGUCGAUGGGAAACGGGUUAAUAUUCCCGUACUGGUGGUAACUGCGAUGGGGGAACGGAGAAGGCUAGGUUGUCCGGGCGACGGUCGUCCCGGUUCAAGCAUGUAGGCAGAGUGAUUAGGCAAAUCCGGUCACUUAAUGCUGAGGUGUGAUGACGAGCCACUAAGGUGGUGAAGCAAUUGAUGCCCUGCUUCCAGGAAAAGCCUCUAAGCUUCAGGUUACCAACAAUCGUACCCCAAACCGACACAGGUGGUCAGGUAGAGAAUACUCAGGCGCUUGAGAGAACUCGGGUGAAGGAACUAGGCAAAAUGGUGCCGUAACUUCGGGAGAAGGCACGCUGGCGGUAAGUGAAGUCCCUUGCGGACGGAGCCGAAGCCAGUCGAAGAUACCAGCUGGCUGCAACUGUUUAUUAAAAACACAGCACUGUGCAAACACGAAAGUGGACGUAUACGGUGUGACGCCUGCCCGGUGCUGGAAGGUUAAUUGAUGGGGUUAUCCUUAGGGAGAAGCUCUUGAUCGAAGCCCCAGUAAACGGCGGCCGUAACUAUAACGGUCCUAAGGUAGCGAAAUUCCUUGUCGGGUAAGUUCCGACCUGCACGAAUGGCGUAAUGAUGGCCAGGCUGUCUCCACCCGAGACUCAGUGAAAUUGAACUCGCUGUGAAGAUGCAGUGUACCCGCGGCAAGACGGAAAGACCCCGUGAACCUUUACUAUAGCUUGACACUGAACAUUGAGCCUUGAUGUGUAGGAUAGGUGGGAGACUAUGAAGUGUGGACGCCAGUCUGCAUGGAGUCAACCUUGAAAUACCACCCUUUAACGUUUGAUGUUCUAACCUAGGUCCAUAAUCUGGAUCGGGGACCGUGUCUGGUGGGUAGUUUGACUGGGGCGGUCUCCUCCUAAAGAGUAACGGAGGAGCACGAAGGUUGGCUAAGCAUGGUCGGACAUCAUGCGGUUAGUGCAAAGGCAUAAGCCAGCUUGACUGUGAGAGUGACGGCUCGAGCAGGUACGAAAGUAGGUCUUAGUGAUCCGGUGGUUCUGAAUGGAAGGGCCAUCGCUCAACGGAUAAAAGGUACUCCGGGGAUAACAGGCUGAUACCGCCCAAGAGUUCAUAUCGACGGCGGUGUUUGGCACCUCGAUGUCGGCUCAUCACAUCCUGGGGCUGAAGUAGGUCCCAAGGGUAUGGCUGUUCGCCAUUUAAAGUGGUACGCGAGCUGGGUUUAGAACGUCGUGAGACAGUUCGGUCCCUAUCUGCCGUGGGCGUUGGAAGAUUGAGAGGGGUUGCUCCUAGUACGAGAGGACCGGAGUGAACGCACCACUGGUGUUCGGGUUGUCAUGCCAAUGGCAUUGCCCGGUAGCUAAGUGCGGAAGAGAUAACCGCUGAAAGCAUCUAAGCGGGAAACUUGCCUCGAGAUGAGUCUUCCCUGUCACCUAGAGUGACCUAAAGGAACGUUUAAGACUAAGACGUUGAUAGGCUGGGUGUGUAAGCGUAGCGAUACGUUGAGCUAACCAGUACUAAUGAACCGUGAGGCUUAACCUG
rnacentral:rRNA from 1 species